AUUGAACGCUGGCGGCAUGCCUUACACAUGCAGGUCGAACGGCAGCGGGGGAGAAGCUUGCUUUUCCUGCCGGCGAGUGGCGAACGGGUGAGUAAUACAUCGGAACGUGCCCUGUAGUGGGGGAUAACUAGUCGAAAGAUUAGCUAAUACCGCAUACGACCUGAGGGUGAAAGUGGGGGACCGCAAGGCCUCAUGCUAUAGGAGCGGCCGAUGUCUGAUUAGCUAGUUGGUGGGGUAAAGGCCUACCAAGGCGACGAUCAGUAGCUGGUCUGAGAGGACGAUCAGCCACACUGGGACGGGGACACGGCCCAGACUCCUACGGGAGGCAGCGGGGGGGAAUUUUGGACAAUGGGCGAAAGCCUGAUCCAGCAAUGCCGCGUGUGUGAAGAAGGCCUUCGGGUUGUAAAGCACUUUUGUCCGGAAAGAAAUGGCUCUGGUUAAUACCUGGGGCCGAUGACGGUACCGGAAGAAUAAGGACCGGCUAACUACGUGCCAGCCGCCGCCGUAA
rnacentral:rRNA from 1 species